AAAUAAACUUGUGUUAUCUCUUCUAAAAAUCAUAUAUAUUUCAUAAGCAGCAUUAUAGUAAAUACAAUGAAAGACAAACUCCAUAAGGUCAUGUGCAAUGGCAAAUUUAUUCAACAUCCUACUUUUUCACUUUUUAACCUUCCACAUCAUCUUCUCUUUCUUUCACAUCAUCAUUCAACACCCACAUAAUUUUGAACCACUACAAUGGUUUUGUUUAAUAAAAUUCAACACUCUACUCUACAAUUAUUAUUUUAU
rnacentral:sRNA from 1 species